rnacentral:misc_RNA from 1 species
GAUGAAGAACGUAGCGAAAUGCGAUAAGUAAUGCGAAUUGCAGAAUUCCAGUGAGUCAUCGAAUCUUUGAACGCACAUUGCGCCCUUUGGUAUUCCGAAGGGCAUGCCUGUUCGAGCGUCAUUAUCACCCCUCAAGCCCUCGGCUUGGUGUUGGACGGUUUGGUGGAGGCCCCCUCGGGGGUUCCUGCCCCUCCCAAAGACAAUGACGGCGGCCUCGUUGGACCCCCGGUACACUGAGUUCUUCACGGGACACGUAUCGGACACAUGGGUUUACGGGACACGGUCUGCCUCCCCUCAGGGAGAAUCUUUCUAAGGUUGACCUCGGAUCAGGUAGGGAUACCCGCUGAACUUAAGCAUAUCAAAGCGGAGGA